GGGCGGCUAGCUCAAUGGUUAGAGCGUCUGGUUUACAUCCAGAAGGUUAUAGGUUCGAGUCCUAUGUCGCCCA
rnacentral:tRNA from 1 species